rnacentral:rRNA from 1 species
UACAGAGGUGGCAAGCGUUGUUCGGAAUUACUGGGCGUAAAGGGCGCGUAGGCGGCCUUCUAAGUCAGACGUGAAAUCCCCAGGCUUAGCCUGGGAACUGCGUCUGAUACUGGGAGGCUUGAGUGCGGGAGAGGGAUGUGGAAUUCCAGGUGUAGCGGUGAAAUGCGUAGAUAUUGGGAGGAACACCGGUGGCGAAGGCGGCCACCUGGACCGGUUCUGACGCUGAGGCGCGAAAGCGUGGGGAGCAAACAGG